UGGGGAAUCUUGCACAAUGGGGGCAACCCUGAUGCAGCGACGCCGCGUGAACGAUGAAGCCCUUCGGGGUGUAAAGUUCUUUCGGCAGGGACGAUAAUGACGGUACCUGCAGAAGCAGCUGCGGCUAACUACGUGCCAGCAGCCGCGGUAAUACGUAGGCAGCGAGCGUUGUUCGGAGUUACUGGGCGUAAAGGGUGUGUAGGCGGUUCUUUAAGUUUGGUGUGAAAUCUCCCGGCUCAACCGGGAGGGUGCGCCGAAUACUGAGGGACUAGAGUAUGGGAUGGGAAAGUGGAAUUCCUGGUGUAGCGGUGAAAUGCGUAGAUAUCAGGAGGAACACCUGUGGUGUAGACGGCUUUCUGGACCAUAACUGACGCUGAGACACGAAAGCGUGGGUAGCAAACA
rnacentral:rRNA from 1 species